AGUUUCCUACGGGGCGCAGCAGUAGGGAAUCUUCCACAAUGGGCGAAAGCCUGAUGGAGCAACGCCGCGUGGGUGAAGAAGGUCUUCGGAUCGUAAAACCCUGUUGUUAGAGAAGAAAGUGCGUGAGAGUAACUGUUCACGUUUCGACGGUAUCUAACCAGAAAGCCACGGCUAACUACGUGCCAGCAGCCGCGGUAAUACGUAGGUGGCAAGCGAUAUCCGGAUUUAUUGGGCGUAAAGGGAACGCAGGCGGUGUUUUAAGUCUGAUGUGAAAGUCUUCGGCUUAACCGGAGUAG
rnacentral:rRNA from 1 species